rnacentral:misc_RNA from 1 species
UUAAGUUCAGCGGGUAUCCCUACCUGAUCCGAGGUCAACCUUUGAUGAAUGGGGAUUUCUCCAAUGGCAAGCAGUGCACCCACGAUGCGAGCGAAUAGUGCUGGUAAGCCUUUACAACGCCGCAAACACGUGGGGACAAACCGCCUCUGAAUUUCGGUGGUGAGGCAAUUCAACGCGAUGCACGCAUCCCCUCAUUCACC